CGGCAUGCCUUACACAUGCAAGUCGAACGGCAGCGGGCUCUUCGGAGUGCCGGCGAGUGGCAAACGGGUGAGUAAUACAUCGGAACAUGCCCAGUAGUGGGGGAUAGCUCGGCGAAAGCCGAAUUAAUACCGCAUACGACCUUCGGGUGAAAGGGGGGGAUCUUCGGACCUCUCGCUAUUGGAGUGGCCGAUGCCUGAUUAGUUUGUUGGUGGGGUAACGGCCUACCAAGACUGCGAUCAGUAGCUGGUCUGAGAGGACGAUCAGCCACACUGGGACUGAGACACGGCCCAGACUCCUACGGGAGGCAGCAGUGGGGAAUCUUGGACAAUGGGCGAAAGCCUGAUCCAGCAAUGCCGCGUGUGCGAUGAAGGCUUUCGGGUUGUAAAGCACUUUUGUCAGGGAAGAAAUGGUUCGGGCCAAUAACUCGGACUUCUGACGGUACCUGAAGAAUAAGCACCGG
rnacentral:rRNA from 1 species